CAUAUAACAAUCCAAAGGGAGUAAGAAAAUUAAAAUAAAAGUUUAGCAUUUCUAAAAGUGAAAUAUCAUUUCACAAUCAUACUAUGUGUGACAAAAUAUCUAAAUAAUUCUAUUUAACCACAAAAAUCAGAACUUUCUCAUCAUUUUGACAAAUUAAAAACAUGCGAAAAAAUAAAAAAUAAAAAGACAAAUAAACAUCUUGGAUGA
rnacentral:lncRNA from 1 species